AGUCUGAGCCCUGAGAAAACGUGAAAGUCGUGCAGCCGACCGUCAAUUAUUUUUUUCGAACUCAUUGUAUUUUACUGAAUGAGCCAUCGAAAUGAUACAGGAUUCAUCUUAAUUAUCGGCUGUUUCUAUUGGACUUGCUAGAUCACCAACCACAGCAUGGACCAAUCUCUCAUUAGAUCUUCUAGAGAACCUUGGAUAACUGAUUGGUGGUUUCAUGUGUUUCUAAAUUGGCAUGACAGACUUUAAUGAGAAAUCAUGUCCUUUCAAGAAAAAGACAAGGACUAUACAGUCAACAAGGUUUCUUGUUUGCUAACCGGUGGCUGCUACCCUUGAAGCUUGAUUCUCCCUUUUUACUUCCUUGCACAGGCCCUCUUGAUUUGAGACUGCUUACAGGGUAAUCCUUCGCUACUUGUCAUGGACUUCAUCCAGUGGUGCCUGCCUGCCUACCUGGUGAAAAUCAAUGAGAGAAUGCUGUGAUUCAAGAGAAUGCUGAUAAAUUGUGUAGUUGUUAGCUAAAUUACAAGUGCAUAUCUGGGCUCCCUUCUUUUCUGUGGCCCCGUUUCCCU